CUCCGGUUGAUCCCGCCGGACCUGACUGCUAUCGGAUUGGUACUAAGCCAUGCGAGUCGUUGUAGCAAUACAAGGCGGACGGCUCAGUAACACGUAGUCAACCUAACCUAUGGACGUGGAUAACCUCGGGAAACUGAGAAUAAACCGCGAUAGAUCAUUAUGCCUGGAAUGGCUUAUGGUUCAAACAAUUUAUUGCCGUAGGAUGGGACUGCGGCCUAUCAGCUUGUUGGUGAGGUAAUGGCCCACCAAGGCUAUAACAGGUACGGGCUCUGAGAGGAGAAGCCCGGAGAUGGGUACUGAGACACGGACCCAGGCCCUAUGGGGCGCAGCAGGCGAGAAACCUUAGCAAUGUGCGAAAGCACGACUAGGUUAAUCCGAGUGAUUUCUGUUGAAGAAAUCUUUUGUCAGUCGUAAAACCACAGACGAAUAAGGGGUGGGCAAGUCUGGUGUCAGCCGCCGCGGUAAUACCAGCACCUCGAGUGGUCAGGAGGUUUAUUGGGCCUAAAGCAUCCGUAGCCGGCUACGCAAGUCUCCGGUUAAAUCCAGCUGCUCAACAGAUGGGCUGCCGGAGAUACUACAUAGCUAGGGAGCGGGAGAGGUAGACGGUAUUCUGUGGGUAGGGGUAAAAUCCACUGAUCCAUAGAGGACCACCAGUGGCGAAGGCGGUCUACCAGAACGCGUUCGACGGUGAGGGAUGAAAGCUGGGGGAGCAAACCGGAUUAGAUACCCGGGUAGUCCCAGCUGUAAACGAUGCAAACUCGGUGAUGCAUUGGCUUAUGGCCAAUGCAGUGCCGCAGGGAAGCCGUUAAGUUUGCCGCCUGGGAAGUACGGACGCAUGUCUGAAACUUAAAGAAAUUGGCGGGGGAGCA
rnacentral:rRNA from 1 species